AUGACAUCUGACACAACAGGGCUCAAAACAUUUGCAACAUGUAUAUACUGUAAAGGCAUGUACACCCGUAAGGUUAUAUGGCGACAUCUGAAAACCUGUCCCUCAAUGACUUCUAAACCUCCAGCAGGUGUCAGGAUUCAGAUCUUAGUUUUAGUCAGCACAGUGUUAACAGAUCCACACCACAUCUCAUCAGGUGUGAGGAAGAUGUUAAAAAAACUGAAGAAAGAUGAGAUAGGCUUGCUAAUCUGGGAGGACGUGUACAUCCUGCAGCUGGCCCAGUGUUUGUACUACAUGAGCAAGGAGAAAAAAAGAGAUGCAGAAAUCAACCAGACGUUGAGGCAGGUGGGAAGGCUGCUGCUGACAUUGAAGAAAGAGUCUGUCUGUAGCUUUGAAGAAGCGACCAAGCCCCAGAACUUCAGCGUCCUUGUUAAAGCUAUGAGGGAGUUUCUUGGUUUCAGGGAGGAGACAAAAUCCUAUGACAGACCACGUCUCAGACAACUGCUGGGAUCCUCACUGAAGAAGAUUGCAAACAUCAACUACGCCAGGGCUGUAUGGAGGGACGCUGAUAAAGAGACCAUUGAAGAGGCAGAGACGUUCAUGAAGCUGUGUGUGGAGGAAUGGCCCUCCAUCAGACCAGCAAAACCAGGCAUCUCCAGCACACCCACCAUACCGUUCAUACAGGAUGUGCAGCUUUUGUACCAGUGCAUGGAGAACACCAUGGAGAGUCUAUGCCACAAUCUGACCCUGUAUCCCAUCCCGCUGGUCUACACUGCACUGCUCCGAGUGGCGGUUGCCUACGUGGCGAUCUUAAACAAAAAUGCAGCAGAAGCUGUGGAAGUAACUCUUCAGUCAUUCAAGGAAAGAGCUGAGACGGAGCUGCAUGGGGACGCACCUGUUGGACAGGCAAAUUUGGGACAGAUUCUGUUAAAGAACAUGCUGAAGAUCAACGUUAAAAGCAUCGGAGGCAGAGCAGUUUCUCUUAUUCUGACUCCUGGUCUGCUCUCUGCAAUCACACUGCUCGUGACCAAGAGAGAAACAUGUGAAGUACAUGAGCAAAAUCCCUACUUAUUUGGACGAGCGGUCGCCUCUUGUACAAGCUUCUACCGUAGUCCAACCUGCAUCAACAUGUUUGUUUCUCGCUGUGGUGCAAAGAACAAGCCUAGCCUCAGAUCUUCUGCGUUUCGAAAGCACAUGGCAAGAAUUUUCAAAUUUUUCAGCCUUACAAAUAGUGACCUCAUUGAGCUAGCCAAACUGCUGGGCCGCAAUAUCCGAACAGAGAGGGAGUUCUAUCAGACGCCAGAGGCAGCCGCAGACAUCGCAAAAAUCUCAGAGAUGCUGUCGGCAGUAGAGAGCGGAUGUUUUAAAAGAUUCCAAGAAAAAUCUCUGGAGGAAAUUGAAAUUCCAGGUACACUUUCAAGGAAAUGCACGACAUUCUGUUAG
rnacentral:lncRNA from 1 species